AGUUGACAGAUGAACUAAACACGGUGGAUGAAAAGCUGAAAGCAACUGAAGCCCUUCUGGAAAGCAAGAAUCUUGAGAUUAAGAAAAUAAAUGAUGAGAAAAAAGCAGCUUUGGC